AUAGAUUUCACUGGUGCUACGUCACAAAGCGGACCUAAAAUGGCAGUGCCCUAAUAAAUCCGACCUUUUCGGGUGCUGCAUCUGGUCAACACUUGAUUUCCUUCUAAAGAGACAAACGUCGUCAUUGCCUCCGGUUUCAGCAGAAUAAAGGUUAAUAUUGGUUGAACAGUGUCUUUAUGCUUAGAUAAAUCGGAGUGGAAAUAUUAGCGUUACGUGAUGAGAUGCACCUCACGGGGUAGUUGACGGUUAGGGGCAGAGGAGGAAGUGGUGGCUUUCCUGGCAAACAGAAACAGGCUUCACGAGGUUUUAAGAAAUGAUGACUUUAGGUUUCUGUUUGGGUAAGAAUCGAGGCGGCCGUUAGGACGCUGUCAGCAACAAUUGCCUUCAGGGGCCUGUUUUGUGACUUAACAAUGAGCAGAACAGAUUAUAUUAGAAUAUUAAAAGUAAUAAUCUCUUCGUGCUAGAGAGAUGGCUCCGCAGUUAAGAGUGCUUGUUGGUCCUCUGAAGGACCGAAGUUCAGUUCUCAGCAGCCGGUUCCAGGGCAUCUAUCUAAAUCCGGGUUCUGACCCCCGUAGAACCCACACACACACGUCCUCAUGUACACACACACACACACACACACACAAAGUUUUAAGUAAUAGUCUCAAGAUUGUGAAUAAACUGUCGUAAACGACAACUGCUGAAAAGAACCUUUGUCUGCAAAGACUGAUCAAAACCGCAGUGGAGAGGUUAGAGUGGUGCAGUUCCAGAUGUUAAAUACCUUAUUGUCAGAUACAAAGGGUACCCCACCCAUCCCCCAAAAAUGCCACUGACUCCAAAAUUGGAUCUAACUUAGACUCAGUCUGGACUGUGGAGGAUUUCUAGUGGUUAGGAAAAGCCUGCAUUCCUUAGUAACUUGUGAAACUGUUUCCUAUCUACCAAAGGAGUAAUUUCCCUUACCUCUGGCAGAAAUGGAUUUACAGCUCUGCGCUAGCCCCCAGGCUCCCCAGUCCAUACUUACAAGUACUUGUUAUACAAUUCAAAGCCCCCUUGCCAGCAUCCUGGCUCUUUGCUUCCCUCCUCCCCAGAUACAUAUUCCCCCAUCUCCCUUCUCUCAGCUUUUCCUGAGAGAGACAACCUUUGUUGUUUGGAAUAAACUUUACCUUGUCUACCC
rnacentral:lncRNA from 1 species